CUGGUGCUUGACAGAUGCUUGGGGAUGAUGAAGAUGAUUUUCGGUUUGAGGGCUGCUCUCGCUCUCUGCUUGGCCACAUGGAAGUUCCAAAUCUCCCGAAGUGAGUUUUUCGUUGAUGGUGACCUGGGCAGCAGCUCAGAGGAGCCCUGCACGGGGAGGCAUCAAUCACCGACUCGUAACAGCCUUAUGUGCUUGCCACUCCCACUCAGUUUCAUUGCUCGAAAUCCAGACCAGUCCUCAGAACAUGACACUGAUUCCUCUUCUGUGUUUUCUCUCUGUUCUCUGCAGUGGGUUUGUCUUCAACAAUGAGCCAUUCAUGGGCACCAGGGAGCUACCUAGGACCAGGGAGACGGCUGCAGGCCCUGCAGCCCGUCAGAGAAACACCCUGAGAAUGGCUGCAGUUUUCCUGUUUCUCUUGAGCCCCGGAGGAUUUCAAAGUCUCUUUCAAAAUGAAGAAUGGAUCUUUGGAGAUUGCAAAGUACUAGACGCCCACUGUGGGAAACGUUGCUUUUCCUACCCACCAUCCAUACUCCUUUUUCCGAAUUCCUUUAAACAGCUCACAGUCAAGCAGAGAGACUGGUGUGAGUGCAAAGAAAUAUGGCAGGCACUGUGA
rnacentral:lncRNA from 1 species